UUUAAUAUUAACAUAUUAAACUGAUUUUAAAAUAUAAAAAAAUUAAAAAAUAUAUUUUCAAAUGUUUUUGAAAAAUUCGGUUGGAAUGUUGUGCCAAACUUAGUCUUAUUCUCUAUCUUCUAUAUGGGUCUCGAGAUUUUAGUUGUUGGAUUCCGAAUUCCUUUGAUUUCCUUGCUCUUUCUUGCUUCUUCUUUUUCCCACCUCUGUAGCUAGACAAAGGAUUAGGGUUAAUUUUUGUGAAUUGAGACUAAUUUCCUCACCCUAUCGCUUUCUCUCUCUUUCUAGGCAAUUGUUUAUUAAUUUGUCAAAUUUCUGCGUUUAGGUUAAGGAAUUUGCGGCACAUCCAGCGGCGGUAUUAUCACUUAUGUAGAAAGAGUGUGCUUUGAAAUUUUAUUUGAUAGUCAUGUGGUGAGAAAGAUAAGAUCUGUUGAUAGGCAAGAUUCCUCUGGGGAUAAUAGUUCGUAGGAUUGAGUUUUCUGCUUCGUUUGACGAUGCGGAUGCAGAAAAUCCCCUUCCUCCUUCGAAGAGGGCUGCUGGAAGAGAGAUUUCCAGAGAUAACCCCCGUCUUGUUGAUGAUGAGGUACCGGCGGGCAAAAGAAUUGUGAAAGCUCGUGGCAACCAAAGCACAUCAACUCCAUCAUCCAAUCCUCUGAGCACACAGACAUGGUAGCACUCACAGCGAAGCUAUUAUGACAUUCGCCGGAGAUCCUUAGAUAUUGAAAGACCAUCGUACAGUCGAUGAUGAUGUAAAAUAUUAUGAAUUUAUUUUAGAAUAAAAUUUUAAUUAAAAAAUUAAAGUAAAGUCAAAAAAUAAAUAAUUUAUUGGAGUUUUUUAUAUAUAUUUAUUCAUUUUAAUUUUAGGACUUUUUACGGCUUCACGACGUUCUCUCCCGUGUUUGUGAUGUUUUUAGUUUUAACUGUCAAUAAGAUUUUUCUUUAAAUGAGA
rnacentral:lncRNA from 1 species